rnacentral:sRNA from 1 species
AUCAGGGGCUUUACAAGGCCCCAAAACACAAACCACCAAAGUUUUAAAUGAAACGAGACAUGAACUUCUUCUGAUUCAUAACAGAGAUAAGUUUUUAGAAACCACCACGGAGCCUUAGCACCAAGUGAAGGGUAGACUCCUUCUGGAUGUUGUAGUCGGCCAAAGUACGACCAUCCUCAAGCUGUUUUCCAGCGAAGAUGAGACGCUGCUGGUCCGGAGGGAUACCUUCCUUGUCCUGGAUCUUAGCCUUCACGUUGUCAAUGGUGUCGGAGCUCUCAACUUCAAGAGUAAUGGUCUUUCCAGUGAGAGUCUUCACGAAAAUCUGCAUACCUCCACGGAGACGCAACACCAAGUGAAGUGUAGACUCCUUCUGAAUGUUGUAGUCAGCCAAAGUUCUACCAUCUUCAAGUUGUUUUCCGGCGAAGAUCAAUCUCUGCUGGUCCGGUGGGAUACCCUCUUUGUCCUGGAUCUUGGCUUUGACAUUGUCGAUAGUGUCAGAGCUCUCCACCUCCAAAGUGAUAGUCUUUCCAGUCAACGUCUUGACAAAGAUCUGCAUACCACCACGGAGCCUGAGAACAAGAUGAAGUGUGGACUCCUUCUGGAUGUUGUAGUCAGCAAGAGUUCUGCCAUCCUCCAACUGCUUUCCAGCGAAGAUCAACCUCUGCUGGUCCGGAGGAAUACCCUCCUUGUCUUGGAUCUUGGCCUUGACGUUGUCGAUGGUGUCAGAACUCUCCACCUCAAGAGUAAUCGUCUUUCCCGUUAAGGUCUUGACGAAAAUCUGCAUACCACCACGGAGCCUGAGAACCAAGUGGAGGGUGGAUUCCUUCUGGAUAUUGUAAUCAGCCAACGUACGGCCAUCCUCUAGCUGUUUUCCGGCGAAAAUAAGCCUCUGCUGAUCCGGAGGAAUGCCUUCCUUAUCCUGGAUCUUGGCCUUAACGUUGUCGAUGGUGUCAGAGCUUUCCACCUCGAGGGUGAUAGUCUUUCCGGUGAGAGUCUUAACAAAGAUCUGCAUCUGUAAUUCACAAAAAACUGAGAUUAAUCGCUUGGAUAAUCUCAAAUCCGAUUAAAAAAGCUACCACCAGAUCUGAAUAUAAAUCACAUAUCGGAUCAAAUUCAAAGAAUCGACGCCUAAAUAUACAAAUCUGUGAAAUCUACGAACCCUAGUUCAGAAUAUAGAUGAG